UACGAAGGGGGCUAGCGUUGCUCGGAAUCACUGGGCGUAAAGCGCACGUAGGCGGCUUUUUAAGUCAGGGGUGAAAUCCUGGAGCUCAACUCUAGAACUGCCUUUGAUACUGAAGGUCUUGAGUUCGGGAGAGGUGAGUGGAACUGCGAGUGUAGAGGUGAAAUUCGUAGAUAUUCGCAAGAACACCAGUGGCGAAGGCGGCUCACUGGCCCGAUACUGACGCUGAGGCACGAAAGCGUGGGGAGCAAACAGG
rnacentral:rRNA from 1 species